rnacentral:rRNA from 1 species
CCAAACCAACAAGCUUGCUUGUUGGGGUUGUAGGACACUCUAUACGGAGUUACAAAAGAACAUGUUAGACGAAUCAUCUGGAAAGAUGAAUCAAAGAAGGUAAUAAUCCUGUAGUCGAAAACAUAUUCUCUCUUGAGUGGAUCCUGAGUACGACGGAGCACGUGAAAUUCCGUCGGAAUCUGGGAGGACCAUCUCCUAAGGCUAAAUACUCUCUAGUGACCGAUAGUGAACCAGUACCGUGAGGGAAAGGUGAAAAGUACCCCGGAAGGGGAGUGAAAGAGAACUUGAAACCGUGUGCUUACAAGUAGUCAGAGCCCGUUAAUGGGUGAUGGCGUGCCUUUUGUAGAAUGAACCGGCGAGUUACGAUCUGAUGCAAGGUUAAGCAGCAAAUGUGGAGCCGCAGCGAAAGCGAGUCUGAAUAGGGCGUUGAGUAUUUGGUCGUAGACCCGAAACCAGGUGAUCUACCCUUGGUCAGGUUGAAGUUCAGGUAACACUGAAUGGAGGACCGAACCGACUUACGUUGAAAAGUGAGCGGAUGAACUGAGGGUAGCGGAGAAAUUCCAAUCGAACUUGGAGAUAGCUGGUUCUCUCCGAAAUAGCUUUAGGGCUAGCCUCAAGUGAUGAUUAUUGGAGGUAGAGCACUGUUUGGACGAGGGGCCCCUCUCGGGUUACCGAAUUCAGACAAACUCCGAAUGCCAAUUAAUUUAACUUGGGAGUCAGAACAUGGGUGAUAAGGUCCGUGUUCGAAAGGGAAACAGCCCAGACCACCAGCUAAGGUCCCAAAAUAUAUGUUAAGUGGAAAAGGAUGUGGCGUUGCCCAGACAACUAGGAUGUUGGCUUAGAAGCAGCCAUCAUUUAAAGAGUGCGUAAUAGCUCACUAGUCGAGUGACACUGCGCCGAAAAUGUACCGGGGCUAAACAUAUUACCGAAGCUGUGGAUUGUCCUUUGGACAAUGGUAGGAGAGCGUUCUAAGGGCGUCGAAGCAUGAUCGCAAGGACAUGUGGAGCGCUUAGAAGUGAGAAUGCCGGUGUGAGUAGCGAAAGACGGGUGAGAAUCCCGUCCACCGAUUGACUAAGGUUUCCAGAGGAAGGCUCGUCCGCUCUGGGUUAGUCGGGUCCUAAGCUGAGGCCGACAGGCGUAGGCGAUGGAUAACAGGUUGAUAUUCCUGUACCACCUAGUAUCGUUUUAAUCGAUGGGGGGACGCAGUAGGAUAGGCGAAGCGUGCUGUUGGAGUGCACGUCCAAGCAGUAAGGCUGAGUGUUAGGCAAAUCCGGCACUCAUAAGGCUGAGCUGUGAUGGGGAGAGGAAAUUGUUUCCUCGAGUCGUUGAUUUCACACUGCCGAGAAAAGCCUCUAGAUAGAUAACAGGUGCCCGUACCGCAAACCGACACAGGUAGUCAAGAUGAGAAUUCUAAGGUGAGCGAGCGAACUCUCGUUAAGGAACUCGGCAAAAUGACCCCGUAACUUCGGGAGAAGGGGUGCUCUUUAGGGUUCACGCCCAGAAGAGCCGCAGUGAAUAGGCCCAAGCGACUGUUUAUCAAAAACACAGGUCUCUGCUAAACCGUAAGGUGAUGUAUAGGGGCUGACGCCUGCCCGGUGCUGGAAGGUUAAGAGGAGUGGUUAGCUUCUGCGAAGCUACGAAUCGAAGCCCCAGUAAACGGCGGCCGUAACUAUAACGGUCCUAAGGUAGCGAAAUUCCUUGUCGGGUAAGUUCCGACCCGCACGAAAGGCGUAA